rnacentral:tRNA from 1 species
GCGGGCGUGGUGGAACUGGUAGACACGCCAGACUUAGGAUCUGGUGCCGAAAGGUGUGUGGGUUCGACUCCCUCCGCCCGCA